UCCCUCUCAGGGUCACACCUGGAGAGUUUCCAGUCUCUACCAGUCUUGACUACGGGAGGGAGAAUCAAGCAGAGGCCCGUCCAUUCCAUUCCUAGCUUGGCCAGUGGCUAGCGAGUGGAAGGCCAUCUGCUACAAGU
rfam:Ornithorhynchus anatinus chromosome 4, whole genome shotgun sequence.